rnacentral:tRNA from 1 species
AGUAAGGUAAGCUAAAUAUUAAGCUAAUAGGUUCAUACCCUAUAUAUAGAAGUAAUAAUCUUCUCCUUCCUA